CAGUCGCCACGGUAAUACAGAGGGUGCAAGCGUUAAUCGGAAUUACUGGGCGUAAAGUGCGCGUAGGUGGUUUGUUAAGUUGGAUGUGAAAUCCCCGGGCUCAACCUGGGAACUGCAUCCAAAACUGGCAAGCUAGAGUAUGGUAGAGGGUGGUGGAAUUUCCUGUGUAGCGGUGAAAUGCGUAGAUAUAGGAAGGAACACCAGUGGCGAAGGCGACCACCUGGACUGAUACUGACACUGAGGUGCGAAAGCGUGGGGAGCAAACAGGAUUAGAUACCCCCGUAGUCCCUGUCUCUUAUAA
rnacentral:rRNA from 1 species